rnacentral:rRNA from 1 species
UACGGGGGGAGCAAGCGUUGUUCGGAUUUACUGGGCGUAAAGGGCGCGUAGGCGGCCACCGCAAGUCGACUGUGAAAUCUCCGGGCUUAACCCCGGAAAGGUCAGCCGAUACUGCGGGGCUAGAGUGCAGAAGGGGCAACUGGAAUUCUCGGUGUAGCGGUGAAAUGCGUAGAUAUCGAGAGGAACACCUGCGGCGAAGGCGGGUUGCUGGGCUGACACUGACGCUGAGGCGCGAAGCUAGGGGAGCGAACGGG